rnacentral:lncRNA from 1 species
UCACUUCCCAAGCAAACUGAAGAGCCCAAGAAGUCCUCUCAAGGGCUGCUCUAGAAAGAACCCAAAUCAAGAUAGAAUUGAAAGGGACAUGGAUGAAUCUGGAAAACAUCAUCCUCAGCAAACUGACACAAGAACAGAAAAUGAAACACCGCAUAUUCUCACUCAUAGAGACCACAAGAAUUGUCCAGAAGUUGCAAGGGUAGAAGAGGAUCAUUUGCUUAAAUACCACGGCAACCAUGAAUAAAAUCAACAAUCAUGUUUCCUUUAUGGAUACUUCUCAGUAUUUCUUCUUGUUUUCAUUUUUUUCUCUGGUCCAUGAGAAGGAGAAA